rnacentral:rRNA from 1 species
CGCGAAACAGCGCUAAGUGGCUUAGCUGUCGCUGCAGUUUCGCUGGAAUGGCUGAGAUUCGAUUUUAACGGACCGAAACAAAGGCCCAGAAUAAAUCGUAGCCCAAAUUUCCUCUGAUAGAGCAGCCCGUCCAGAAACCUUAUCUUCAUUCCAUCCUCUCGCUCCCAUCUAAAAAACUUGCGGCGGGCCGGCGUCUGCUUCGCCGCAAGCCGGAGUCAGCGACGAGCGAGGCGGCGACCAGGGCUCCGGCAGGAGGCUGCGACUGAUGACAAGGGCCUUCUACUGGUUGUACUACGAUGUCGUCUCACCCGAUAAUUAAUCCCCGAUUCCAUCCCAUCUUCACUGUGCAGCCAGUGCUCCUCCGCCGAUCUGAUCCGCCGCCGCCGCUCCUUCUCCUCGCCAACUCUCAAUCAUCCUUUGCAGCAGGCAGGUUCCAACUCCCAGUCUAUCGCCAGGAGGUAUAGGCAAGUUCUUCUCUGUCCGUCGGCAUACUCAGUAGCUCUAGUACUCUGUCCGUUUGCUGUUAUUGAUCCAUCCUAGUCUGUUUGCUGAUUCAGUACGAAUGUUGUCUUUUUUUUGCGGGGAGGAUAUUGACUUAUUUAUGACUGAAUUUAUACUGCAAAUCCUCUGUUUUGUGCUGAAAAUCCUCUAUUUUUUAGACAAAAAUACAUGCAUAUACUGUUGCCGCUAAAUGCCUUAGCGGCCGCUAUCGCCCGCUAUAGCGGCGGUAGCGUUUUGACGAGCCAGCUGCGAAAUGCUUUUGCCCGCGAUCUUAAACUUUGGUGGCAACCGAUGAGGUUG